rnacentral:tRNA from 1 species
GUGCGUGUAGCUCAGCUGGAUAGAGCGUCUGACUACGGAUCAGAAGGUCAGGAGUUCGAAUCUUCCCACGCACG